GUGCAGCAGGCGCGAAACCUCCGCAAUACACGAAAGUGUGACGGGGCCAUCCCGAGUGCCGUCCGCUGAGGACGGCUUUUCCCCAGUGUACACAGCUGGGGGAAUAAGGAGAGGGCAAGCCUGGUGUCAGCCGCCGCGGUAAUACCAGCUCUCCGAGUGGUGGGGACGCUUAUUGGGCCUAAAGCAUCCGCAGCCGGCUGGGCAAGUCCUCCGUUAAAUCCAACGAUUCAAUCGUUGGGCUGCGGGGGAUACUGUCCAGCUUGGGGGCGGGAGAGGCCGACGGUAUUCCCGGGGUAGGGGUGAAAUCCUAUAAUCCCGGGAGGACCACCAGUGGCGAAGGCUGUCGGCUAGAACGCGCCCGACGGUGAGGGAUGAAAGCUGGGGGAGCGAACCGGAUUAGAUACCCCCGGUAGU
rnacentral:rRNA from 1 species